GAAGUCACCUGUAGAUAAUUUUAAUAAGAUUCCAAUGACCAUAUUUUGUGAGAUAUGGCACAUUAUUCACAGACCAUGAUCUUUGUGAUUUACAUAUAAUUUCCUUAACAAUGAACAUGUAACUUCUCUCACAAGAGUACUCUUUACUUUGUAAUCAUAUACAAUGUCAACUUUUUAGAUGUUUCACCACUCUUUUGCAAAUAAAGCAUCCUUUCUGCUCUGUUGCAUGCCUGCUCU
rnacentral:lncRNA from 1 species